GUGGACGUAGUUCAGUUGGUUAGAGCGUCAGAUUGUGGUUCUGAAUGUCGUGGGUUCG
rnacentral:tRNA from 1 species